rnacentral:snoRNA from 1 species
GCUGUUCGUUGAUGAGGCUCAGAGUGAGUGCUGGGUACAGCGCCCGAAUCGGACAGUGUAGAACCAUUCUCUACUGCCUUCCUUCUGAGAACAGC